GAUGAACGCUGGCGGCGUGCCUAAUACAUGCAAGUCGAGCGAACGGACGAGAAGCUUGCUUCUCUGAUGUUAGCGGCGGACGGGUGAGUAACACGUGGAUAACCUACCUAUAAGACUGGGAUAACUUCGGGAAACCGGAGCUAAUACCGGAUAAUAUUUUGAACCGCAUGGUUCAAAAGUGAAAGACGGUCUUGCUGUCACUUAUAGAUGGAUCCGCGCUGCAUUAGCUAGUUGGUAAGGUAACGGCUUACCAAGGCAACGACGCAUAGCCGACCCGAGAGGGUGAUCGGCCACACUGGAACUGAGACACGGUCCAGACUCCUACGGGAGGCAGCAGUAGGGAAUCUUCCGCAAUGGGCGAAAGCCUGACGGAGCAACGCCGCGUGAGUGAUGAAGGUCUUCGGAUCGUAAAACUCUGUUAUUAGGGAAGAACAUAUGUGUAAGUAACUGUGCACAUCUUGACGGUACCUAAUCAGAAAGCCACGGCUAACUACGUG
rnacentral:rRNA from 1 species